UACGGGGGGGGCAAGCGUUGUUCGGAAUUACUGGGCGUAAAGGGCUCGUAGGUGGCCAACUAAGUCGGACGUGAAAUCCCUCGGCUUAACCGGGGAACUGCGUCUGAUACUGGAUGGCUUGAGUUCGGGAGAGGGAUGCGGAAUUCCAGGUGUAGCGGUGAAAUGCGUAGAUAUCUGGAGGAACACCGGUGGCGAAGGCGGGUUUCUGGGCAGUAACUGACGCUGAGGAGCGAAAGCGUGGGGAGCGAACAGG
rnacentral:rRNA from 1 species